UCAUUUCUCAUCCAUUCUCAAAUAUAAACAUAUCAGCAUGUUCAGCAAAGCAAGAUCUACGUAUUUAUGGCAAGAAAAUGGCAAAAGGAGAUGGUCGAAUUUUCACUUACUUGAAAUGCAGCGAUCAAAAAUCGUGUCCUCAAGCUUCCAAACUCUCCAGAUCUACUCCUAUGCUUAUGAUUUGAAGCUUUGUGCAAGAAUUAACAGUUGGAAACACCUAGAUCCAGC
rnacentral:lncRNA from 1 species